rnacentral:snRNA from 1 species
UCAGGGCCGCGCGUACGCAGCCCCACACACAAAAAUUUAGCUGUUGGCGAAUCUCAGUUCGAGACUGCCACACGGGUCAGCCCGGGCGAAAGUGCAAUGCGCGGGCCUCACCAUGGGGGUUCCGCCUUGAUGAUCGCGAGACGCCCCCAGCCAGGUAAGUUU